UGGUCAGUCGUCCCCCCCCUCCUCGCCACUCUCCUCUCCCCAACCUUGACUCUUGACUCCAAGCCAGACGCCGAGCCACCGUGACACCACGCCACCACGGAUACGCAGCCUGGCACUUCGGAGAAAGAGGGCGAAAGAUCGUACCGUGAGAUAGACGUGGCGCUGAUGGUCCCAUUGAGACACGUUCUUUAUGAAGUCAUAAAAGUGAAAGCUACGGGCAGACUGUUCAUCUAUUAGAAUGACCUUCCUUUUGAUGAUCGGCCCUUGUCAGCGGUGAUUUUUACUGCCCAGGAGAUAGCGUUUUCCCAUUCUAAUUUGGCCAACUUUGGGACUGCACUGAGGUUACUGGGGUCAAUAGCGUAGGGAUUGGUCUUUCAACAAGGGAGCCAUGGCAACAACACACAGCAUGUUAGCUGCCAGGUAUCGACCUCAAUAACUGGUGGUGCACCUUUAAAAGCUGCUGGAGCCCUGGCCCAGGAGCGGCCUAGAUCAAAGGAGCAGUCCAUCAAUAUCAUCUUGACUGUCAGCCCACAGAGCACUGAGAUACUCAAGUGGACCAAAGAAAUGGAAAAAGAAUGAGUGAAGAUCUAUGGAAAACAGAUCAAAGAAUGCUCUUUUCACAUAAUGGUUAAGAAUUCAGACACUGCAUUUGUCAUUUCUCAGUCUUUUAAAUUCAAGUUACUUUUGGCUAAAUCGUAAAGGUCAGUUGAAACAAACACUCAAGACUGGAUUUAAAACUCUUGUUGUUUAAUCACUACCAUGACCUGCAGCCCACCCAGAACAUAGGUGUUACACGAGUCAGUAGAGAUCUCAACUGGAGCGCUGCUUCAGGUAUCGACCAAAUGCUGCUGUCCACAUCGAUAACCACUGCGGUCCAGCCGAGUGUCUCUGGAGCUGCACAAACGAGGCAGAUAAAGAGCCGCUUUUGCUCAUCCGGGCUCAUCUGAGCUUGUUUCCUUUCACGAACAACGGUUCUUGUGCGUUAUUGCUGUUUCUUAGGAUAUUUUUAAGGUGUCAGUUACGAUGUUGAUCUGUUUUUCCUCAAACACAAAGUUAGGAUGACUCAUUACAGUGCUGCAAGACAGGCUGAUGCAAACCAUCCAAAUAAACACUUCUGCUCACCCUGAUUUUGCAAAGCAAGGCUUGUUUUAAGGUCUGGGAACCAUGCCAGCUUUGAAUGGCCAAGGACUGUUCUAGAGGCCAAAUGACUGACAGAUUGAUGGCAGAAGGUCCGGGAACCAUGCCUGCUUUGAAUGGCCAAGGACUGCCCAAGAGACCAUAUGACUGACAGUGUAGUGCUUCAGCCUGGUCAGUGUGAUCUACAGUAGAAGAGGC